AGCGAACGCUGGCGGCAGGCCUAACACAUGCAAGUCGAACGAACUCUUCGGAGUUAGUGGCGGACGGGUGAGUAACACGUGGGAACGUGCCUUUUGGUUCGGAAUAACUCAGGGAAACUUGUGCUAAUACCGAAUGUGCCCUUCGGGGGAAAGAUUUAUCGCCAUUAGAGCGGCCCGCGUCUGAUUAGCUAGUUGGUGAGGUAACGGCUCACCAAGGCGACGAUCAGUAGCUGGUCUGAGAGGAUGACCAGCCACACUGGGACUGAGACACGGCCCAGACUCCUACGGGAGGCAGCAGUGGGGAAUCUUGCGCAAUGGGCGAAAGCCUGACGCAGCCAUGCCGCGUGAAUGAUGAAGGUCUUAGGAUUAUAAAAUUCUUUCACCGGGGACGAUAAUGACGGUACCCGGAGAAGAAGCCCCGGCUAACUUCGUG
rnacentral:rRNA from 1 species